UACGAAGGGGGCUAGCGUUGUUCGGAAUUACUGGGCGUAAAGGGCGCGUAGGCGGUACUUCAAGUCAGGCGUGAAAGCCCCGGGCUCAACCGGGGAGGGUCGUCGGGGACCGCACCGCUUGAGGGCGGUAGGGGCUGGUGGAAUGCCUGGUGUAGUGGUGAAAUGCGUAGAGAUCAGGCGGAACACCCGUAGCGAAGGCGGCCAGCUGGGCCGUCCCUGACACUGAGGCGCGAAGGCGUGGGGAGCGAACGGG
rnacentral:rRNA from 1 species